AGCGAACGCUGGCGGCAUGCCUAACACAUGCAAGUCGAACGAUGCUUUCGGGCAUAGUAGCGCACGGGUGCGUAACGCGUGGGAAUCUGCCCUUUGGUUCGGAAUAACAGCGAGAAAUUGCUGCUAAUACCGGAUGAUGACGUUAAGUCCAAAGAUUUAUCGCCAGAGGAUGAGCCCGCGUAGGAUUAGCUGGUUGGUGUGGUAAAGGCGAACCAAGGCGACGAUCCUUAGCUGGUCUGAGAGGAUGAUCAGCCACACUGGGACUGAGACACGGCCCAGACUCCUACGGGAGGCAGCAGUGGGGAAUAUUGGACAAUGGGCGCAAGCCUGAUCCAGCAAUGCCGCGUGAGUGAUGAAGGCCUUAGGGUUGUAAAGCUCUUUUACCCGUGAUGAUAAUGACAGUAGCGGGAGAAUAAGCCCCGGCUAACUCCGUGCCAGCCGCCGCCGUAA
rnacentral:rRNA from 1 species